UCCCUGGAGGACUAGUGGUUAGGCCUUGGCGCUCUCACUGACACGGCCUGGGUUUGAUUCCUGGCCAGGGAA